GAAGAUGUGGCUCAGUGGUAGAGAGUACUUGCCUAGCAAGCAUGAGGCCCUAAGUUCAACUCUUACUACUACA
rnacentral:tRNA from 1 species